UACGUAGGGGCCUAGCGUUGUCCGGAAUUAUUGGGCGUAAAGAGCUCGUAGGCGGUUCGGCAAGUCGGAUGUGAAAUCCCGAGGCUCAACCUCGGGUCUGCAGUCGAUACGAGCAAACUAGAGUGUUGCAGGGGAGACUGGAAUUCCUGGUGUAGCGGUGAAAUGCGCAGAUAUCAGGAGGAACACCGGUGGCGAAGGCGGGUCUCUGGGCAACAACUGACGCUGAGGAGCGAAAGCGUGGGGAGCGAACAGG
rnacentral:rRNA from 1 species